GAGUUUGAUCAUGGCUCAGGACGAACGCUGGCGGCGUGCCUCAUACAUGCAAGUCGAGCGAGGGUAGCAAUACCCUAGCGGCGGACGGGUGAGUAAAAAAAAAAAAACCUGCCUCAAAGACAGGGAUAACACUCCGAAAGGAGUGCUAAUACCUGGUAAGCUCACAAGGCCACAUGGUAAGGUGAGAAAAGGAGCAAUCCGCUUUGAGAUGGGCCCGCGUCCCAUUAGCUAGUUGGUAGGGUAACGGCCUACCAAGGCGACGAUGGGUAGCCGACCUGAGAGGGUGAUCGGCCACACUGGAACUGAGAGACGGUCCAGACUCCUACGGGAGGCAGCAGUAGGGAAUCUUCCGCAAUGGGCGAAAGCCUGACGGAGCAACGCCGCGUGAGUGAUGAAGGCCAGGGGGUCGUAAAGCUCUGUCUUCAGUGACGAAUGAGACGGUAACUGAGGAGGAAGCCACGGCAAACUACGUGCCAGCAGCCGCGGUAAAAGG
rnacentral:rRNA from 1 species